CCUUGAAAUACCACCCUUUAAUGUUUGAUGUUCUAACGUGGAUCCGUAAUCCGGGUUGCGGACAGUGUCUGGUGGGUAGUUUGACUGGGGCGGUCUCCUCCUAAAGAGUAACGGAGGAGCACGAAGGUUGGCUAAUCCUGGUCGGACAUCAGGAGGUUAGUGCAAUGGCAUAAGCCAGCUUGACUGCGAGCGUGACGGCGCGAGCAGGUGCGAAAGCAGGUCAUAGUGAUCCGGUGGUUCUGAAUGGAAGGGCCAUCGCUCAACGGAUAAAAGGUACUCCGGGGAUAACAGGCUGAUACCGCCCAAGAGUUCAUAUCGACGGCGGUGUUUGGCACCUCGAUGUCGGCUCAUCACAUCCUGGGGCUGAAGUAGGUCCCAAGGGUAUGGCUGUUCGCCAUUUAAAGUGGUACGCGAGCUGGGUUUAGAACGUCGUGAGACAGUUCGGUCCCUAUCUGCCGUGGGCGCUGGAGAACUGAGGGGGGCUGCUCCUAGUACGAGAGGACCGGAGUGGACGCAUCACUGGUGUUCGGGUUGUCAUGCCAAUGGCACUGCCCGGUAGCUAAAUGCGGAAGAGAUAAGUGCUGAAAGCAUCUAAGCACGAAACUUGCCCCGAGAUGAGUUCUCCCUGAGACUUAGAGUCUCCUGAAGGAACGUUGAAGACGACGACGUUGAUAGGCCGGGUGUGUAAGCGCAGCGAUGCGUUGAGCUAACCGGUACUAAUGAACCGUGAGGCUUAACCUUACAACGCCGAAG
rnacentral:rRNA from 1 species